ACGAAUCGUCAUGACAUACUCAAGUCGAAACUGAAAUGAAAAUCAUGGAUCAACGUACAGUAAAAGCAAUCAGUGCCCAGUCUAGAAAAAGCAGAAAAGAAGAGAAACUGGCAAAAGAAAAAGACUGUCCCACUGUACUUUGCUCACAUCUCGCUGGUUAUGCAGGAUACGCUCUCCUUCGGGCCCAAUCUGCCCAGAGCUCGAUGGGAUACAGAUGGAAACUUUGAGAGCAAAGCGGCCAGCAUCAGGAAGAACACGGCCAAGGACAUUUGCAAAGACUUUGACACUAAGUAUGUAUUUCAAGACUUCCCUUUUGUCUUUGUACUGACUUCACAAGAGAAGCUUUUAAAAUUUAAGGCAACCUUUAACUAAGUUGAGUAUUUCCCCUGAGAUGACUCACACACAU